rnacentral:rRNA from 1 species
AAAGAGGAGCCUGCGGCGGAUUAGCUAGUUGGUAAGGUAAUGGCUUACCAAGGCGACGAUCCGUAACCGGCCUGAGAGGGCGGUCGGUCACACUGACACUGACAUACGGGUCAGACUCCUACGGGAGGCAGCAGUCGGGAAUUUUGGGCAAUGGGCGAAAGCCUGACCCAGCAACGCCGCGUGAAGGAUGAAAUCCCUCGGGAUGUAAACUUCGCAAGAACGGGAAGAAUAAGCCGGUGCAAAUAUCACCGGCGAUGACGGUACCGUUUGUAAGCUCCGGCUAACUCCGUGCCAGCAGCCGCGGUAAUACGGGGGGAGCAAGCGUUGUUCGGAUUUACUGGGCGUAAAGGGCGCGUAGGCGGCCAGCGCAAGUCAGUUGUGAAAUCUCCGAGCUUAACUCGGAAAGGUCAACUGAUACUGCGCGGCUAGAGUGCGGAAGGGGCAACUGGAAUUCUCGGUGUAGCGGUGAAAUGCGUAGAUAUCGAGAGGAACACCUGCGGCGAAGCGGGUUGCUGGGCCGACACUGACGCUGAGGCGCGAAAGCUAGGGGAGCGAACGGGAUUAGAUACCCCGGUAGUCCUAGCCUUAAACGAUGAAUGCUUGGUGUCUGGGGGUUAUAUAGUCCCCGGGUGCCGUCGCUAACGCUUUAAGCAUUCCGCCUGGGGAGUACGGUCGCAAGACUGAAACUCAAAGGAAUUGACGGGGACCCGCACAAGCGGUGGAGCAUGUGGUUUAAUUCGACGCAACGCGAAGAACCUUACCUGGGCUAGAAUGCCCACUGACAACCCUAGAGAUAGGGCCUUCUGGGUAAAACCAGACAGAGUGCAAGGUGCUGCAUGGCUGUCGUCAGCUCGUGUCGUGAGAUGUUGGGUUAAGUCCCGCAACGAGCGCAACCCUUAUCAAUAGUUGCCAGCAUUUAGUUGGGCACUCUAUUGAGACUGCC